GCCUGGGAUAGCUCAGUCAGUAGAGCAUGAGACUUUUAAUCUCAGAGUCAUGGGGUCAAGCCGCACAUUGGGCA